rnacentral:rRNA from 1 species
GACGUAGGGCGCGAGCGUUGUCCGGAUUUAUUGGGCGUAAAGAGCUCGUAGGCGGCUUGUCGCGUCGAAUGUGAAAUCUCAGGGCUCAACUCUGACAUUGCAUUCGAUACGGGCAGGCUAGAGUUCGGUAGGGGAGACUGGAAUUCCCGGUGUAGCGGUGAAAUGCGCAGAUAUCGGGAAGAACACCCGUGGCGAAGGCGGCUCUCUGGGACGGUACUGACGCUGAGACGCGAAAGCGUGGGGAGCGAACAGG